GCCAGCCCGCUCAGAAACUCAAAGGAAUUGACGGGGGCCCGCACAAGCGGUGGAGUAUGUGGUUAAUUCGAUGCAACGCGAAGAACCUUACCUGGUCUUGACAUCCCGGAGACCCUUAGGAAACUAGGGGGUGCUUCCAUCUGGAAGAAUCUGGAGACAGGUGCUGCAUGGCUGUCGUCAGCUCGUGUCGUGAGAUGUUGGGUUAAGUCCCGCAACGAGCGCAACCCUUGCCUUUAGUUGCCAGCAGUUCGGCUGGGCACUCUAAAGGGACUGCCGGUGUUAAACCGGAGGAAGGUGGGGAUGACGUCAAGUCCUCAUGGCCUUUAUGACCAGGGCUACACACGUACUACAAUGGCCGAUACAAAGGGCAGCGACACUGCGAGGUGAAGCCAAUCCCGUAAAAUCGGUCUCAGUCCGGAUUGGAGUCUGCAACUCGACUCCAUGAAGUUGGAAUCGCUAGUAAUCGUGGAUCAGCAUGCCACGGUGAAUACGUUCCCGGGCCUU
rnacentral:rRNA from 1 species